CAAGCGGUGGAGCAUGUGGUUUAAUUCAAAGCAACGCGCAGAACCUUACCAGCCUUUGACAUGGCGGGACGGCAUCGAGAGAUUGAUGUCUUCACUUCGGUGACCCGCGCACAGGUGCUGCAUGGCUGUCGUCAGCUCGUGUCGUGAGAUGUUGGGUUAAGUCCCGCAACGAGCGCAACCCACGUCCUCAGUUGCCAUCAUUCAGUUGGGCACUCUGGGGAGACUGCCGGUGAUAAGCCGCGAGGAAGGUGUGGAUGACGUCAAGUCCUCAUGGCCCUUACGGGCUGGGCUACACACGUGCUACAAUGGCGCAGACAAAGAGAAGCGAACCCGCGAGAGCAAGCGGAUCUCAAAAAGUGCUCUCUAUUCCGAAUGCGAUCUGGCACCUCAGCGCCUGGAGUUCGAAUCCGUUGGUAUUCGGGAAUCGGACUGCAACGGGGAAAAGGUUCCCGGCCCUGGACCCCCC
rnacentral:rRNA from 1 species